GAUGAACGCUGGCGGCGUGCCUAAUACAUGCAAGUCGAGCGGUAAGGCUCCUUCGGGAGUACACGAGCGGCGGACGGGUGAGUAAUACGUAGGAACGUACCCCCAAGUGAGGAAUAACCAGCCGAAAGGUUGGCUAAUACCGCAUAUGCUCUACGGAGUAAAGCAGCAAUGCGCUUUGGGAACGGCCUGCGGCCGAUUAGCUAGUUGGUAAGGUAAAGGCUUACCAAGGCGACGAUCGGUAGCUGUUCUGAGAGGAUGAUCAGCCACACUGGAACUGAGACACGGUCCAGACUCCUACGGGAGGCAGCAGUAGUGAAUUUUCCACAAUGGGCGAAAGCCUGAUGGAGCAACGCCGCGUGCAGGAUGAAGACCUUAGGGUUGUAAACUGCUUUUAUCUGUGACGAUUAUGACAGUAGCAGAUGAAUAAGGAUCGGCUAACUCCGUGCCAGCAGCCGCCGCUG
rnacentral:rRNA from 1 species